GACGAACGCUGGCGGCGUGCUUAACACAUGCAAGUCGAACGGAAAGGCCCUGCUUUUGUGGGGUGCUCGAGUGGCGAACGGGUGAGUAACACGUGAGUAACCUGCCCUUGACUUUGGGAUAACUUCAGGAAACUGGGGCUAAUACCGGAUAGGAGCCCCUGCUGCAUGGUGGGGGUUGGAAAGUUUCGGCGGUUGGGGAUGGACUCGCGGCUUAUCAGCUUGUUGGUGGGGUAGUGGCUUACCAAGGCUUUGACGGGUAGCCGGCCUGAGAGGGUGACCGGCGACAUUGGGACUGAGAUACGGCCCAGACUCCUACGGGAGGCAGCAGUGGGGAGUAUUGCACAAUGGGCGGAAGCCUGAUGCAGCAACGCCGCGUGCGGGAUGACGGCCUGCGGGUUGUAAACCGCUGUCGCCUGUGACGAAGCGUGAGUGACGGUAAUGGGUAAAGAAGCACCGGCUAACUACGUG
rnacentral:rRNA from 1 species